rnacentral:tRNA from 1 species
AAGACUCUAGUAAAAUAGGCAUUACAUUGCUUUGUCAAGGCAAAGUUGUGGGUUAAACCCCCGCGUGUCUUA